GGACGAACGCUGGCGGCGUGCUUAACACAUUCAAGUCGAACGGAAAGGCCCUGCUUUUGUGGGGUGCUCGAGUGGCGAACGGGUGAGUAACACGUGAGUAACCUGCCCUUGACUUUGGGAUAACUUCAGGAAACUGGGGCUAAUACCGGAUAGGAGCUCCUGCUGCAUGGUGGGGGUUGGAAAGUUUCGGCGGUUGGGGAUGGACUCGCGACUUAUCAGCUUGUUGGUGGGGUAGUGGCUUACCAAGGCUUUGACGGGUAGCCGGCCUGAGAGGGUGACCGGCCACAUUGGGACUGAGAUACGGCCCAGACUCCUACGGGAGGCAGCAGUGGGGAAUAUUGCACAAUGGGCGGAAGCCUGAUGCAGCAACGCCGCGUGCGGGAUGACGGCCUUCGGGUUGUAAACCGCUUUCGCCUGUGACGAAGCGUGAGUGACGGUAAUGGGUAAAGAAGCACCGGCUAACUACGUG
rnacentral:rRNA from 1 species